CUACCCGGGUUUCUAAUCCUGUUCGCUCCCCAUGCUUUCGCUCCUCAGCGUCAGUAACGGCCCAGAGACCUGCCUUCGCCAUCGGUGUUCCUCCUGAUAUCUGCGCAUUCCACCGCUACACCAGGAAUUCCAGUCUCCCCUACCGCACUCUAGUCUGCCCGUACCCACUGCAGGCGCAAGGUUAAGCCUUGCGUUUUCACAGCAGACGCGACAAACCGCCUACGAGCUCUUUACGCCCAAUAAUUCCGGACAACGCUUGCGCCCUACGUAUUACCGCGGCGGCUGGCAC
rnacentral:rRNA from 1 species